ensembl:antisense
GUGUGAGCAAGUGAAAUUGGAAAGAAACAGGCACAUGGGCAGCCACAGGGCAUUCGGGCUCUUUUGAAGUGCUGUGGUCUCAGCAAGGGAUGUUAGCCUGUGAGUCGAGCCUUUCUCAGUAAUGUUAAUUAUACAUGCUAGUUAUUUCUGCUAAAACGUGAUUUUAAACCUCAAAUCUACUUAUGAAAUCAUACUAACACAUGGGAAAUCAUGCUUUCAUGGUCUGCUUUACUUAAAAAUAAGGAAGCAGGAAGGUAAUGUAGGACUGAGCAUUUCUUUAAUGAAACCACGCUUGGUGAUCCCGCCUGACAUGCAGCAUCUCAGGUGCUUAAGACAGAAGAACAGGAAAUCAAAACUAGUCACCACCGGGUGUUCUCUGAGCACAGGCUUUCCUCCUCCCCAUCUCCCAGCAGGAGGCGCAGAGCUCCUGGGAUCACACUGACAAUCCCCCCUGUUCUGAGGCUCAACUGGACUACGCUGCACAUAAGUGCAUAUACAUGUGAACCAAUGUAGCGCCUCUACUUUCCUUGCUUUGCAAGACCUUCUGCAGCCUGUCAAAAGAUUUCCUGAUGAUGACGGCACAAUGCAAAGCCACGGGUGUUCCCUGAGCAGUCUGCAGCAGUUCUUUCUAGCUCCAAAUUUUCAGAUNNNNNNNNNNNNNNNNNNNNNNNNNNNNNNNCCUAUCCAAAGUGAGCCGCCCUGAAAACUAACAAUUUAUCACAAAGAAAACGGGACGAACAUCCCAUACACCAAACUCCCCCGCCAGAACUCACUGUCCUGGAAACUAUGAGCCACACGAACUCAAAACAAGAGUCCUGGGCCUGUCAUAGAAUACGGGAGGGCUCAGAAAAACCCACUUGCUCUAGAUUUCCUGAGGGAUCUGACAACAGCAAUGUGAAAGCUAGUAACAGCAAGCUUCCCCAGCCAAGGGGCUGUGUGAGCUUUCAUCACAGCCUGUCUCUGGCAUGGUCAGCCAAGCCACCCCUAAGCCUAGAUCUGCAUUGCACAUCCAAAUGGGCUUCUCUCCGCCUCCUGCCCAGCCCUCCCCCGCUCCCUGUACGCCGGACCCGCCCACCCGCAGAGUUCCUGGAUUUGCAAGUCUAGGCUGCACCCGGGACCAACCUUCAUGUUAAGCGCGAAGAACAAGCCACACUGUCCCAACUUUGAGAACGCCGCAGAGUUUGGAGAAUCACAAAUGUAAAAUGAACCCGGAAGCACAGAGAGCAGAGUCCUGUCUAGCGGGGUCAUACAGAAAGAGAGAGACUACAUUUCCCAGAAGUCUACGCGAAGGACUACCCGGAACCAAAGAAGGCAAAGAAUUUAAAGCGCAUGGAUUGUAUGUAACUGGAAUUAGGCUGCUUUUAAAAAUCCCAAAUUUACAAAGGGCAUUUUGGGAAUAUGAGUCCAGCCUUUAGCGGUAAUAUGUAUUAGAUUUACUUCUUACUCUGAUCAAUGCUGUGACUUAAAAAGCUCAGGGGUACCUAGAAUCUUAUGGGGGGCAGAAAAAAAAAUCACAUUGAGUCAAUUUUACUUUAAAAUAACGGAGCAAGAAGCUACUUUAGGGCACACCACAAACUCUUUAGGAUAGUUUUUGAAACCAAGUUUCCUGGAAAUAUUCUGAAAUCUCAGCUACUCUGGGGUUUGAGACAGAAGAAUCACAAGUCUAUGUCCCAAAUUACACAGUACCAAAAGAGAUGGGGGCUACUCACUGGUGAAACACUUGUCUGAAGUGAAGGAGGCCUUGGUUUAACAUCCAUUAUGACACUAAAUC